rfam:Populus trichocarpa isolate Nisqually-1 chromosome 5, whole genome shotgun sequence.
AUCCCAGAUAAUAUUGGAUUUUGUGAUUAUCUGAUUCAUGGGAGGCUAAUAAUGAAAUGGGAGUUCGCUGAUAGCACUUUUGGUCUUUGCAAUGUGUUUCACUAGUACCUCACCAUGCAUUU